GGCCAGACUCCUACGGGAGGCAGCAGUGGGGAAUAUUGGGCAAUGGGCGCAAGCCUGACCCAGCAACGCCGCGUGAAGGAAGAAGGCUUUCGGGUUGUAAACUUCUUUUCUCAGGGACGAAGAAAGUGACGGUACCUGAGGAAUAAGCCACGGCUAACUACGUGCCAGCAGCCGCGGUAAUACGUAGGGGGCAAGCGUUAUCCGGAAUUACUGGGUGUAAAGGGUGCGUAGGUGGUUUGACAAGUUAGUAGCGUAAUUCCGGGGCUCAACUUCGGAACUACUACUAAAACUGUUGGGCUUGAGUGCAGGAGAGGUGAAUGGAAUUCCUAGUGUAGCGGUGGAAUGCGUAGAUAUUAGGAGGAACACCAGCGGCGAAAGCGAUUCACUGGACUGUAACUGACACUGAGGCACGAAAGCGUGGGGAGCAAACAGGAUUAGAUACCCUAGUA
rnacentral:rRNA from 1 species